rnacentral:misc_RNA from 1 species
AGAGCAUGCUGGGGGGUCACACAAAGCAGGAGUUGGAGAUCUGCAACAGGCCUGGGAGUUGUGGACCAGUUUGAAGUCUUGAAUGCUACAGAUGAAAUACGGUGUGUUUGGCCUCCGACUCUCGAUAUACACACAGUCUCCUGGUCUGUAGACCACAUCAUCUUCAGUGAUGUAGGAUGUUAUCUCACCGGUAUCUGUCCUUUCAUAACGAGACUUUUUUU